CUUCCAUUUCUGCACCUUCGACCUCCAACACAACCCCUAUCGCUAUACUGUUAGCAUCACACCAGACAGUCCCAUAUUCCGUCUUGGGUACAUACCAGUUCCCCCUGACCGGAUCUUCCGCUCUCGUCUUCUCUAGGAUUUCCCGCAUCAUC